rnacentral:rRNA from 1 species
UGCGUAGGAAUCUGCCUAGUAGUGGGGGACAACCUGGGGAAACUCAGGCUAAUACCGCAUACGCCCUACGGGGGAAAGCAGGGGAUCUUCGGACCUCGUGCUAUUAGAUGAGCCUACGUCGGAUUAGCUUGUUGGUGGGGUAAAAGCCUACCAAGGCGACGAUCCGUAGCUGGUCUGAGAGGAUGAUCAGUCACACUGGAACUGAGACACGGUCCAGACUCCUACGGGAGGCAGCAGUGGGGAAUAUUGGACAAUGGGCGAAAGCCUGAUCCAGCCAUGCCGCGUGUGUGAAGAAGGUCUUCGGAUUGUAAAGCACUUUCAGUUGGGAGGAAAAGCCUAAGGCCAAUACCCUUGGGUCAUGACGUUACCAACAGAAGAAGCACCGGCUAACUCCGUG